rnacentral:rRNA from 1 species
CGGGUGAGGAACACGUGGGAACCUGCCCUUUAGUGAGGAAUACCGGCGAGAAAUCGCCGACAAGACCGCAUGAGCUUUCUCGGUGAGAGUCGAGGAAGGAAAGCCUUGAAAGAGGCGCUGAAGGAGGGGCCUGCGUCCGAUUAGCUAGUUGGUGGGGUAAGAGCCUACCAAGGCGUCGAUCGGUAGCUGGUCUGAGAGGACGAUCAGCCACACUGGGAUUGAGAACGGCCCAG